AGACCCGUAGUUUAACCGGCAGAACGCACCCCUGAUUAGGGUGAAGCGAGGGUUCGAAGCCUUCCGGGUCUACCA
rnacentral:tRNA from 1 species